AUUGGUGAGGAUGAUGAAAAAUUGGAAGACUCGUACACUGUUGGUGGGAAUGUAAAAUCAUUCAGCUGCUAUGGAAAACAGUAUGGAGGGUCCUCAAAAAAUUAAAAAUAAAACUACCAUAUGAUCCAGCAAUUCCACUUUUGGUAUAUAUCCAAAAGAAUUGAAAUCAGUAUCUCAAAAAGAUAUUUGCACUCCCAUGUUCAUUGCAGCAUUAUUUACAAUAGCCAAAUGUCCAUCAGCAGAUGAAUGGAUAAAGAAAAUGUGGCAUAUAUGUAUAAUGGAAUAUUAUUCAGCCUUAAAAAAGAAGGAAAUCCUAUUAUUUGUGACAACAUGGAUGAACUUGGAGGGCAUUAUAAGUGAAAUAAGCCAGUCUCAGAAGGACAAAUACUCUAUGAUUCCCUUUUUAUGAGGUAUCUAAACUAGUCAAAUGAUUGGAAGCAGAGAAUAGAAUGGCGGUUGCCAGGGGCUCAAUGGGUGUAAAGUUUCAAUUAUGCGAGAUGAAUAAAUUCUAGAGAUCUUUUGUACAACAAAGUGCAUGUAGUUAAUAGCACAGUAUUGUGCAUUUAAAAAUAUAGAGGGUAGAUCUCAUGUUAAGUAUUCUUACCAAACACACAAAAAUGGGACACCAACUUUUAGAGGUGAUGGAUAUGUUUAUUACCUUAAUUGUGGUGAUAAUGUCUUGGUUGUGUGCAUAUGUCCAAACUCAUCAAAUUGUAUGCACUAAAUAUAUAAAUAAUUAUAUCUCAAUAAAAAAAUUAUUUUUUCUGCUGUCUGGAGUCUCAGCCCCAGAAAUUCUGAUUUAGUUGGUCUGGAGUGAGGCACGGUCAUUAGAAGUUUGAAAAACUCUCUAGAUGAUUCCAGUAUGCAGCCAGGAUAAAGAAAUACUUCUCUAGACCAACAUCCUCACUGCACAGAUGGGAAAGAGAGGCCCUGAGGAAGGAAGUGACUUGUCUGGUAAAAUUAGAUUAAGAACUCAAACCAAGGUCUCCUGACUCCGACCUGGGUUCUCUCCAGCACAUAACGCAGCCUCAGACUCACUUCCUGUGCUUCCACACAAACACUACCCCAAAUUGUCUCAUGUCAUAUUCCCUGAACACACCAGGUCCACCCCUGUGUCAAAUCCACAGCAAUACAAGCUGUCAUUGGAAUGCUUAUUAUGUGCCAAACACCGAGCAAGCCAAAUUAUAUGUGUUAUCUCUAAUACAUACAGCAAGCCUUCAAAGAAGGCAUGAGUGUCCUCAUUGGAAGAGGAGGAGGCUGAUGUUCAGAGACUUGAAGAAAUUAGCUGAAGUUGUGACUAGUAAAGAGAAGCCAGGAUUUGAUAACAGGUUUACCGGACUCCAAGGAAUCUCACUAUACUUACUGCCACCUGUUCCCACCCCGCCUUACCUUCCUGGGUUAUUUCUCCAUCAAGAACCAGCUCUAGUUUCACUCCCUCUGCAAAAGCUCUUCCUCCCCAGACCACAGAGUUAUUUUUAUUGUUUUAACUUUCAUGACGCUAAUCACCCACAUUAGCUAUUUGGCAGGUUCUCCCUCACAUGGUAAUUUAUUGUGUCAUGUAUAUGGCCUGUUUCCUUCUCCAUGAGGCUGAGACAGAGAGGGACCUUCUCUAACUGUGUUUCUGUGUUGGUCCUGUAGCUGUGUCAAGAUACAGUGAUUGCGGGGCACCUGGCUGGCUCAGUUGGUAGAGCAUGCGACUCUUCAUCUUGGGGUUGUGAGUUUGAGCCCCACAUUGGGUGAAGAGAUUACUUACAAUCUUAAAAAAAAAAGACACAGUGAUUGCAAGAUCAUAAUAUUUAGUCUUUUGUGAGACUCCUCCACUGGGAGUAUCUGCAGAAGGAGAAUACCUAUAGGCCCAAGUGGAGUUGAAAAUUUGAACUAAGAAUGAAGCUUUCCUCAGGUUUGGAUUUGUAGAAACAUUUACAAGUAAGUCUCUAGGUGUCAGUAGAAAGCCUAAUUUUAAGAGUGUGACACAGAGUGGAAUGAAAUCAAAAUCUCAGGCUAGAAGUUUUUCUCUGUAACCAUCAAGCUAAAGCUAGAAUUCUCUCUCCAACAUAACAAAACUGUAGCAACAUUCCUCCCAGCCCAGGGGUUGGUAAUGAGGCAGCCUUUUCCAUGUUUGGACAGCUUUAUUGGAAUGCUGUUCUUGGUUUUAUAUGAAACUGUCUCCUGGUAGCUUCUACCUGCUGUCCAAGGAAAUUAAGUGGCAACAGCCCAUGCAUUGCACCUGGGCCUGAGCAUGUGGAAGGCCUGUUAUAGUCGAACAGGUCUUCCACAAAGGUCCAUCCUCAGAGCAUCAGGGACUGAGGCAAGUGAGCAAUGCACCUCUGGCAGGGUGCUGUCCUCUCAGACCCAGAGAUGGAGAAGGUGACUCCAGCAGAGUCCAAAGACCUGGGGAGUCAGAAAAGCCCCCCCUUUCACUCUGUUCUUCCCAAGGUCUUCAAUAGCCUGGCCUUUGCUUAGUCAAACCCAUUCUCUCUCCUCAAAAAAUAGAGGUUACCACUAUACCUUCUGGCCCCAGCUGUAUUCUUUAGAAAUAUAUAGAACAAACCCAGUGUCUCUUCCUCCAGGGAUCUGAAGACAGAGACUAAGCCAUCCAUCCAUCAUCCAACCAUCCAUCCAUCCACCCAUUUAUUAAGCAUAUCUUUACUGGAAGCCUACUGUUACCAGUUCUUCCUGUCCUGAUCCAUGCCCCGGCUGGCUGACUGAAGCCCUCAUUUGAAGCUUUGGAAAGCCCAUUUUGGCUUCCUGACUUAGAGAGGACAAGUCCAGAGAAAGACGGUUUUAAGAAGAAAAGAAAUCCAAAUGGAAUCCAACUCGGCCUUACUUAUGUAAGAGCACCUGUCAUGUGUACAAUAGUCCCAGGCAGAACUCCUAAGAAAGAUCACUUUGUAAACCAUCCUGCUGCUGUGGGGAGGUCAACAAUUGUCCUUUGUCGGUGCAGCCCUCCCCUCACCCCACUAUGGAAUUGCUGGUCCAAACCGUUGUAGUAAGGUUUGGGCAAGAAGAAAUUAUUCCAUUGUCUUUUAGAAAUUAGAUCAGUAAGGGUGAUGUCAUUCAUGAUUUCCUAGGGUUCUGGCUGUUCCUGGUGUAGGAAACCAUGUGCAGCCCCAUUGCUGCAUAUGUUUCUCUAGAUCCACAGUCAACAUGGACACAUAGAAAAUGACCUGUGUCAAAUGAGAAUCUACUUCAGUUCCAAAAAUCUUAACUUUUUCUUUUUAGGUGAAGUCAAAUCAACACUUAGUAUACUGAUUUCUAAAAUAGUGCAUGUAAAAACAAAUAAGUAAAUGUUCUGGUCUCUCUUGAGCUUAGGGAGAGUUUUAAGAUCCAGGUUAUUUACUCAAUAAAAUAUGGAUUUGUAUUUGACCUCCAAAGCACUUUUUGUCUUUAAUUUCUUUUUUAGCCCAGGAUCAAAGUCUGCUGCCCAUCCACAGACAGGCUGACCGCAGCAAGUAGCCAGUUUGCACAUGAGUUUUAAUAUCAACAUCGCCUUGAUUUUUCUUUGACAAGUACCUUUAAUUAUUUCAACAAAUAUUUAAUGUGCCAGGUAGUGUCCUGGGUGCUAAGGAUAAAGCAGAACAAAACAACAAAAAUCCUUGCCCUUGUGGGUUUACAUGCUAAUGGGGAAGCUUCAUUCGUUCAUUUGCUCAUUUAUUCAACAAGUGUUUAUUGGUUUUCUAAUAUGACUCAAGUCUUAAGCCACACACUGUGCUUAAACAGCAUUCCAUCUCUGCCCUCAGGGCACAGUGGGAGAAAUAAGACAUGUCCCCAUGCUUUCCCUGCUGCUCCCCGUAUACAAAGAAUACAGAAGAGGGGCACCUCUUUCAGCUUGAGUGGUUCAAAGAUGAUUUCUCAGAGAACAUGACAAGUAAGAGAGGCUGGAAGAAUGACUGAUGAGGGAAAAGGACAGUCCAUGAAGUGAUGAGACAGCGUGAUGCAAGGCCCAGUACAGAUGAAUGCUACUGAAUGAAUGGCUGAAACGCCCAAGAGAACAUCAACUCUGAGAGGCAUGUUCUGGGAACUACAAGUCCUUUCCUGUGACUGGAGUUGAAAGUGUGUGGGGAUGAGGGGCAGGAGAUGGGGCUUGGGGAAGGAGGCAGGGUAUGGAUGUGAGGUAGGCUGGCUAAGGAGCUUUGUCCUGAUGACAAUUAGAAGAUUCGUGGAUCGGGUGCCUGGGUGGCUCAGUUGGUUAAGCGACUGCCUUCAGCUCAGGUCAUGAUCUGGGAAUCCUGGGAUCAAGUCCCACAUCAGGCUCCCGGCUCAGCAGGGAGC